rnacentral:rRNA from 1 species
CGAGAGGACCGGGAUGGACGAACCUCUAGUGUACCAGUUGUCUCGCCAGAGGCAGUCGCUGGGUAGCUACGUUCGGUCGGGAUAAACGCUGAAUGCAUCUAAGCGUGAAGCCCACUCCAAGAUGAGAUCUCCCAACCGCAAGGUAAGAAGACCCGUAGUAGACCACUACGUUGAUAGGCUGGGUGUGUAAGGUCAGUAAUGGCUUCAGCUAACCAGUACUAAUCGGUCGUUCGGCUUGACCAU